rnacentral:rRNA from 1 species
GCGAACGCUGGCGGCAGGCCUCACACAUGCACGUCGAACGGAUCCUUCGGGAUUAGUGGCGGACGGGUGAGUAACACGUGGGAACGUGCCCUUUGGUUCGGAACAACUCAGGGAAACUUGAGCUAAUACCGGAUGUGCCCUUCGGGGGAAAGAUUUAUCGCCAUUGGAGCGGCCCGCGUCUGAUUAGCUAGUUGGUGAGGUAACGGCCCACCAAGGCGACGAUCAGUAGCUGGUCUGAGAGGAUGAUCAGCCACACUGGGACUGAGACACGGCCCAGACUCCUACGGGAGGCAGCAGUGGGGAAUCUUGCGCAAUGGGCGAAAGCCUGACGCAGCCAUGCCGCGUGAAUGAUGAAGGUCUUAGGAUUGUAAAAUUCUUUCAGCGGGGACGAUAAUGACGGUACCCGCAGAAGAAGCUCCGGCUAACUUCGUG